rnacentral:rRNA from 1 species
AUGAAGUGGCGCCAAGCUUCUGGCAUUCUCUGUGACAAGAGAGUGCCACAAAAGCUAAAAGGCAAGUUCUACAGGACGGCGGUUCGACCCGCAAUGUUGUAUGGCGCGGAGUGUUGGCCGACUAAAAGGCGACAUGUUCAACAGUUAGGUGUGGCGGAAAUGCGUAUGUUGAGAUGGAUGUGUGGCCACGAGGAAGGAUCGAGUCAGGAAUGA